AGGAAACAACUGUUUUGAAGUGGAAUCCUUUGGCUAGUCCUUUAUUUUCUGAUGUAGAGGGGGAAAGAAGUAUAGAAUUGGUUCAGUCUGAGAUGUUUCCCAUGUGAUAAUCCUCUUGCAUUCUUCUAAAACACGGUGAUCUGGAAUAAUGGCUUCCAGCAAUGUAUCUUGAAUGUGCUUUUGUAAAAGAGUAGGGAGAUGCUACAUGACGGGCUUCCCUGCUGAAAAAGGCUGUUUCAGCAAAGCACUGACAUUGAACAACCCUUUGAAAGACACCAGGGACCUAAAGAACAUCAAUGCUGUCAGAUUUCCAGACCUGAAUUCCUCCCUAUAAUACCCAGGCUUGUAGCCAAUUUGGCUGCCUCGGAGCAGUUGUAUCUUUAAAAAAUGCUUGAUGUGUUUUCACGUUUCAAAAAGAAAAGAAGUAAAACACUGCAGCAUGAUUCAGGAACGCAGGCAGAUGAUGAAGCGGAGCAACAAAGUCACCAGUGAAGACAACUCAAGCAGAGACGACCUUCUUAAAUUCCAUAUCGCUAACUGCUCCUCAGAGAGAGCUAGCAUUUGUAUCCAAGCAUGAUAUUUUCUUUCUCCAUAUCUGAUCCUAUAUGCAGCUGCUGGGAUACCAUAAAACAAACCAGCUGGGAGAUCAGUAGGCUGUUUCCAAGCCCAUUCUUUGGAAGAUUAACUGCUCCUCAGAAAAUGAUCAUUCAUGGAUGGCUUUUGGCAGGAGGCAAAGGGAGGGAAGAAGAUCCUCCCUGGAUCUGUUUGCUUGAAAGCUUAGGGUAAAUGCUCUCUUUUGCGCAUUGCUGAUCUAUAAGAUACACAUAUCCUGAAACACUGUGCUUGUGCAGUGGGAGUAAAAAACUCAGUUGAAUUCCAUUAAGCUACCCUGGUGAGUGUAGUAAGCUUAGGGGCUCUUGAGCGUUUUUAUUUAAUAUGAAGAGUGUUAUUCAACUCAGAAAUCAUGGGCACUUCCAGCUACAAGGGAAACCUUUUAUACUUACUCCAUCAGGAAAACAAUACUAGGACUUUAGAAAUAAAUCCUAAAGAACUGUGAUGUUUUAGUUGUAACAAGAUAAUGGCAGAACUGUAACAGGACUGUGGAUCCACUUAACCAGACACAGGAAAAAAAAAAA